rnacentral:misc_RNA from 1 species
AACAUCGCGCACCUGCGGGAACCUGCGGAAGGAUCAUUAUCGAGUUUACAACUCCCAAACCCCUGUGAACAUACCAAUCGUUGCCUCGGCGGGACCGCCCCGGCGCCCCCGGGCCCGGACCCAGGCGCCCGCCGGAGGACCCCCAAACUCACUUGAUUCCACGGUGUAUCUUCUGAGUGACACAAGCAAAUAAAAUCAAAACUUUUAGCAAUGGAUCU